rnacentral:rRNA from 1 species
UACGGAGGGGGCAAGCGUUGUCCGGAUUUAUUGGGCGUAAAGAGCGUGUAGGCGGCCUGACAAGUCUGUUGUGAAAACUCGAGGCUCAACCUCGAGAUGUCGGCGGAAACUGUCUGGCUAGAGUCCGGAAGAGGAGAGUGGAAUUCCUGGUGUAGCGGUGAAAUGCGCAGAUAUCAGGAAGAACACCUAUGGCGAAGGCAGCUCUCUGGGACGGUACUGACGCUGAGACGCGAAAGCGUGGGGAGCGAACAGG